rnacentral:snoRNA from 1 species
AGCUGCUUGCCCCGUGGGCCACCAGGGAUCCCAUAGUUCUUCAUCCAGGGCUGGGGACCAAGCUCAGCCCCGAAGGAGUAUCAUCGGUGCCCUGCAAGAGGGCAGCCUGGUUUUCCUGCCUCAGACGUAU